UGGCGACCGGCGCACGGGUGAGUAACACGUAUCCAACCUGCCGAUGACUCGGGGAUAGCCUUUCGAAAGAAAGAUUAAUACCCGAUGGCAUAGUUCUUCCGCAUGGUAGAACUAUUGAAGAAUUUCGGUCAUCGAUGGGGAUGCGUUCCAUUAGCUUGUUGGCGGGGUAACGGCCCACCAAGGCAUCGAUGGAUAGGGGUUCUGAGAGGAAGGUCCCCCACAUUGGAACUGAGACACGGUCCAAACUCCUACGGAAGGCAGCAG
rnacentral:rRNA from 1 species